GACGAACGCUGGCGGCGUGCUUAACACAUGCCAGUCGAACGGAAAGGCCCUGCUUUUGUGGGGUGCUCGAGUGGCGAACGGGUGAGUAACACGUGAGUAACCUGCCCUUGACUUUGGGAUAACUUCAGGAAACUGGGGCUAAUACCGGAUAGGAGCUCCUGCUGCAUGGUGGGGGUUGGAAAGUUUCGGCGGUUGGGGAUGGACUCGCGGCUUAUCAGCUUGUUGGUGGGGUAGUGGCUUACCAAGGCUUUGACGGGUAGCCGGCCUGAGAGGGUGACCGGCCACAUUGGGACUGAGAUACGGCCCAGACUCCUACGGGAGGCAGCAGUGGGGAAUAUUGCACAAUGGGCGGAAGCCUGAUGCAGCAACGCCGCGUGCGGGAUGACGGCCUUCGGGUUGUAAACCGCUUUCGCCUGUGACGAAGCGUGAGUGACGGUAAUGGUAAAGAAGCACCGGCUAACUACGUG
rnacentral:rRNA from 1 species